UAAAAAGUAAAUAAUAAUUUCAUUUAUAUCCAGUGGAUAUUACUAAAAAUUAUUAUAUUAACUCUUUUGUUAUUUAGUUAUCGAUAGGACUUCACCUUAAAAUGCUACUGACACCAGUGAAGUUACAAGAAUUAUGAACGCGAUUGCAAAUAAUAUUGGUAAGAGGGGAAAAUGGAAUUAACAUACAUAGAAUUUGUUAUUUAAAUCUCAAUAUGACU